UUAUUGCACUUCUUGAUGUUUGCAGGGCUUGUAGUCCCAGAUGUUCCAUUAGAAGAGACUGAUAAUUUAAGAAAGGAAGCUCUGAAAAAGAAUAUUGAACUGGUAUUGCUAACCACACCCACUACUCCUAAUGAUCGAAUGAAAUCCAUUGUUCAAGCUGCUGAAGGAUUUGUCUAUCUGGAUUAAUUGUUGAUUGUAAUUUGAGCAAGAGCUUGGUUUUGCAGGAUUUUCUAUAACGAAAGACUUUGGAUUUUGAUUGAUUUAUUGAGAUGUCUUCUGCGGUAAUGCGACAUCACGGAGGAGAUGGCGGGGCAGAUCCUCCUCGAGAUCCAACACAUAUAGAGGCUGACUGUGAGAGAGUGCCUGCAAUAAAAAGGUGUGGCAUCAACAAAGGGAUAUCAACCUGAGAGGCUAGGGCUGCCUUAGGUAGACCAUUACCCCUUGAGUGGGAUGUUCGAGGAAAGACGUACAAGGAAAUUGGUGAAUAUUCUCACCAUUUGUCUCGGGAGAUCGGCCUUCUCAUUCGACAAUAUGUCGAUCCCGACUAUGAUCGAUGGGAUAAAGUACCAAAGGAAGUUAGGGAUCGAAUAUUUCCUCGUCUACAGGAUGAUUUAUUCGAUAUUGGUCUCACUCGGUAUGGGGCAGAACAUCGAAGUGGCAUUCUUCUCGGCAUUCAACGAUCUUGCGCUGAUCGUUACUUAGAAUGGAAGAAUGAUAUAUCUACUCACAUAAAGAAGCAUGGUCGGAGACAUGCUCCUGAUGGUUUGGUAGAAGAAAAAUGGAAGAAGGCGCUUGAUUAUUUUGAUCGACCUGAAGUGAAGAGGCGCUCUGAGAUUAAUGCUGCGAAUCGAGCAAAACAAAAACAAAAUAGCUUCCA